AGUGAACGCUGGCGGUGGGCCUAACACAUGCAAGUCGAACGGCAGCACAGUAAGAGCUUGCUCUUACGGGUGGCGAGUGGCGGACGGGUGAGGAAUACAUCGGAAUCUACUUUUUCGUGGGGGAUAACGUAGGGAAACUUACGCUAAUACCGCAUACGACCUACGGGUGAAAGCAGGGGAUCUUCGGACCUUGCGCGAUUGAAUGAGCCGAUGUCGGAUUAGCUAGUUGGCGGGGUAAAGGCCCACCAAGGCGACGAUCCGUAGCUGGUCUGAGAGGAUGAUCAGCCACACUGGAACUGAGACACGGUCCAGACUCCUACGGGAGGCAGCAGUGGGGAAUAUUGGACAAUGGGCGCAAGCCUGAUCCAGCCAUACCGCGUGAGUGAAGAAGGCCUUCGGGUUGUAAAGCCCUUUUGUUGGGAAAGAAAAGCAGCAGGUUAAUACCCCGCUGUUCUGACGGUACCCAAAGAAUAAGCACCGGCUAACUUCGUG
rnacentral:rRNA from 1 species